GUUUCAAACUCCACCGUCAUCCAUCUACCGUACCGUACGACGUACUGCAAAUCGAUAUCUUUGCUUCGAACCAUUUCCCCAAGAUCCCUCUAAAAUGCGCAUACUAAACAAGAAAGUUCCAGUACAGUUAGUUACUGCAAACGUUCAGCUUUCCGAGACCCAACCAUGGUUCCCAGAAAACGUAGCACAACAAUAACUUGUCAUACUGGAGGAGCGAAGAGUAAUCACAAUAGCUGGAAGUGCGCUCUUCGUGCAUUCAGGUGAUGUGGGCGUUUGUGAAUUCUAAAGUGUGAUCUCACAGGAUGUCUAGAAAAUGAUGGAUCAUUUAGCCAUCAUUUAACCGUGCAAACAGAUGAAUUAAAAUGGACUUGAUCGUUAGUUUGGACUGUCCCCUACAGGAUCUGCUGAAGGUCAGUGCUUGCUGCUUCUUCUGGGCAAAAUGGACUGGUAAGAGGCGGAGAAGAUGCAGGAAAAAAGAUAUAACGGAAUUUGAAAGUCGGCGCUGGAGGAAUGAUCCCGUUAUUGUCUCGUAGUUACAGCGAAUCGCAGCCGGCUAAUCAAUCGCCAAUUCAGAAGAUAUUCAUGAUAAAUUUAAAAUAAGUUUAAGAAAAUAGACUAAAAACAGUAUUUUGAAAUAAAGAGCUGCUUUUUCUGCAAACAAAUAAAACAUAUUUCGUAAAACCAUAUUUCAUAG